AUAGGGGAGCCGCAGGGAAACCGAGUCUUAACUGGGCGUUAAGUUGCAGGGUAUAGACCCGAAACCCGGUGAUCUAGCCAUGGGCAGGUUGAAGGUUGGGUAACACUAACUGGAGGACCGAACCGACUAAUGUUGAAAAAUUAGCGGAUGACCUGUGGCUGGGGGUGAAAGGCCAAUCAAACCGGGAGAUAGCUGGUUCUCCCCGAAAGCUAUUUAGGUAGCGCCUCGUGAACUCAUCUCCGGGGGUAGAGCACUGUUUCGGCUAGGGGGCCAUCCCGGCUUACCAACCCGAUGCAAACUGCGAAUACCGGAGAAUGUUAUCACGGGAGACACACGGCGGGUGCUAACGUCCGUCGUGAAGAGGGAAACAACCCAGACCGCCAGCUAAGGUCCCAAAGUCAUGGUUAAGUGGGAAACGAUGUGGGAAGGCCCAGACAGCCAGGAUGUUGGCUUAGAAGCAGCCAUCAUUUAAAGAAAGCGUAAUAGCUCACUGGUCGAGUCGGCCUGCGCGGAAGAUGUAACGGGGCUAAACCAUGCACCGAAGCUGCGGCAGCGACGCUUAUGCGUUGUUGGGUAGGGGAGCGUUCUGUAAGCCGUCGAAGGUGUGCUGUGAGGCAUGCUGGAGGUAUCAGAAGUGCGAAUGCUGACAUAAGUAACGAUAAACAAGGUGAAAAACCUUGUCGCCGGAAGACCAAGGGUUCCUGUUCAACGUUAAUCGGAGCAGGGUGAGUCGACCCCUAAGGCGAGGCCGAAAGGCGUAGUCGAUGGGAAACAGGUUAAUAUUCCUGUACUUGGUGUUACUGCGAAGGGGGGACGGAGAAGGCUAUAUCAGCCGGGCGACGGUUGUCCCGGUUUAAGCGUGUAGGUGUGUGUUCCAGGCAAAUCCGGUUCACUUUACACUGAGGCGUGACGACGAGGCACUACGGUGCUGAAGUGAUAAAUGCCCUGCUUCCAGGAAAAGCCUCUAAGCAUCAGGUAACACAAAAUCGUACCCCAAACCGACACAGGUGGUCAGGUAGAGAAUACCAAGGCGCUUGAGAGAACUCGGGUGAAGGAACUAGGCAAAAUGGUGCCGUAACUUCGGGAGAAGGCACGCUGGCGCGUAGGUGAAGGGACUUGCUCCCGGAGCCGAAGCCAGUCGAAGAUACCAGCUGGCUGCAACUGUUUAUUAAAAACACAGCACUGUGCAAACACGAAAGUGGACGUAUACGGUGUGACGCCUGCCCGGUGCCGGAAGGUUAAUUGAUGGGGUUAUCCGUAAGGAGAAGCUCUUGAUCGAAGCCCCGGUAAACGGCGGCCGUAACUAUAACGGUCCUAAGGUAGCGAAAUUCCUUGUCGGGUAAGUUCCGACCUGCACGAAUGGCGUAAUGAUGGCCAGGCUGUCUCCACCCGAGACUCAGUGAAAUUGAAAUCGCUGUGAAGAUGCAGUGUACCCGCGGCAAGACGGAAAGACCCCGUGAACCUUUACUACAGCUUGACACUGAACACUGAGCCUUGAUGUGUAGGAUAGGUGGGAGGCUUUGAAGCGUGGACGCCAGUCUGCGUGGAGCCGGCCUUGAAAUACCACCCUUUAAUGUUUGGUGUUCUAACGUAGGCCCGUGAUCCGGGCUGCGGACAGUGUCUGGUGGGUAGUUUGACUGGGGCGGUCUCCUCCCAAAGCGUAACGGAGGAGCACGAAGGUUGGCUAAUCCUGGUCGGACAUCAGGAGGUUAGUGCAAUGGCAUAAGCCAGCUUGACUGCGAGAGUGACGGCUCGAGCAGGUGCGAAAGCAGGUCAUAGUGAUCCGGUGGUUCUGAAUGGAAGGGCCAUCGCUCAACGGAUAAAAGGUACUCCGGGGAUAACAGGCUGAUACCGCCCAAGAGUUCAUAUCGACGGCGGUGUUUGGCACCUCGAUGUCGGCUCAUCACAUCCUGGGGCUGAAGUAGGUCCCAAGGGUACGGCUGUUCGCCGUUUAAAGUGGUACGCGAGCUGGGUUUAGAACGUCGUGAGACAGUUCGGUCCCUAUCUGCCGUGGGCGCUGGAGAAUUGAGGGGGGUUGCUCCUAGUACGAGAGGACCGGAGUGAACGCACCGCUGGUGUCCGGGUUGUCACGCCAGUGGCACUGCCCGGUAGCUAAGUGCGGAAAAGAUAAGUGCUGAAAGCAUCUAAGCACGAAACUUGCCCCGAGAUGAGUUCUCCCUGAGCCUUUAAGGCUCCUGAAGGGACGUUGAAGACGACGACGUUGAUAGGCCGGGUGUGUAAGCGCAGCGAUGCGUUGAGCUUACCGGUACUAAUGACCCGUGAGGCUUAACCUU
rnacentral:rRNA from 1 species